UCGGUGAAAAUUUUAAUGUUUUUCUGUUAUAUAAAGCUCUUUACCUUGACAUACCUGAUUGAAAUAAAGUAAAUAGAAACUAUGGAAUUUUGAAUCUCAGAAAUUAUAAUUCCUCACAGAAAAAACUG